rnacentral:rRNA from 1 species
CGCUAUCACUCCUACGGGAGGCAGCAGUGGGGAAUUUUGGACAAUGGGCGCAAGCCUGAUCCAGCAAUGCCGCGUGCAGGAAGAAGGCCUUCGGGUUGUAAACUGCUUUUGUCAGGGAAGAAAUCCUUUGGGGCUAAUACCUCGGAGGGAUGACGGUACCUGAAGAAUAAGCACCGGCUAACUACGUGCCAGCAGCCGCGGUAAUACGUAGGGUGCGAGCGUUAAUCGGAAUUACUGGGCGUAAAGCGUGCGCAGGCGGCUUUGCAAGACAGAGGUGAAAUCCCCCGGGCUCAACCUGGAACUGCCUUUGUGACUGCAAGGCUAGAGUACGGCAGAGGGGGAUGGAAUUCCGCGUGUAGCAGUGAAAUGCGUAGAUAUGCGGAGGAACACCGAUGGCGAAGGCAAUCCCCUGGGCCUGUACUGACGCUCAUGCACGAAAGCGUGGGGAGCAAACAGGAUUAGAUACCCUGGUAG